CCACAGACACGACGGCAGGCACACACCACCAUAGCACACAGGGGGUCGUGCGCGUCGUCGGUCGGUGCCUCUGCCUCAGCCGUGUCGCGCGCGCCCAUGUUGGGCGCGGCCGCCUCGUCCGAUUCGCGCGACCACUCCGAUGGGGUGCCACCACCGCCCCUUCCGUGAAAGCACAACUAUUUGAAGUUUGAUGAAUGCUUCCAACGAAGUCGGAGUCCGCGUCCAUGGAAAUAGUAUGCGGCUUUGUCUGCAGGAGGCGCCAAUCUUCAAAUGGAAUCUCAGUAGUGUUUUGCGGUAGCUUGUUUUGUGGAUGCUGUCGUAGACUCUUCCGUUUGUGGUGUUGUAGAGACAUUUUUCGUUGCAUAGUUUUGCACUGAUUGCAUAGAGAAACAAUUGUACCCUAAGGUUGUUCUUUUUUGUUGUCAAACUAAUUAAGAAACAGAAUAUCGCUACGCUUGUGCAAUGGCGAUUGCAA